UGUAGCAAUACAUCGAAAGUGGCGAACGGGUGAGUAACACGUAAGUAAUCUACCUCUAGGAUUGGGAUAACCUUGCCAACGCGAGGCUAAUACCGGAUGUGAUCAUAGAAACGCAUGUUUUUAUGAUUAAAGAUGCAAAUCGCUAGAGAUGAGCUUGCGGCCCAUUAUGCUAGUUGGCGGGGUAAUGGCCCACCAAGGCUGCGAUGGGUAGCCGGCCUGAGAGGGUGUACGGCCACAUUGGGACUGAGAUACGGCCCAGACUCCUACGGGAGGCAGCAGUAGGGAAUUUUGCGCAAUGGACGAAAGUCUGACGCAGCAACGCCGCGUGAAGGAUGAAGGUUCUCGGAUUGUAAACUUCUGUUAAGUGGGAAGAAAAGCUCGCAAGAGUAUGACGGUACCACUUGAGUAAGCACCGGCUAACUACGUGCCAGCAGCCGCGGUAAUACGUAGGGUGCAAGCGUUGUUCGGAAUUACUGGGCGUAAAGAGAGCGUAGGUGGGAUUGUAAGUUAGAAGUUUAAUCUAUGGGCUUAACCCAUAAUCUGCUUUUAAUACUGCAGUUCUUGAGUAUGGGAGAGGGUGAUGGAAUUCCAGGUGUAGCGGUGGAAUGCGUAGAUAUCUGGAAGAACACCAGUAGCGAAGGCGGUCGCCUGGCCCAAUACUGACACUGAGGCUCGAAAGCUAGGGGAGCAAACAGGAUUAGAUACCCUGGUAGUCCUAGCCGUAAACGAUGAACACUAGUUGCUGGAGGAGUCAAUCUCUUCAGUGACGAAGCUAACGCAUUAAGUGUUCCGCCUGGGAAGUACGGUCGCAAGACUGAAACUCAAAGGAAUUGACGGGGGCCCGCACAAGCGGUGGAGCAUGUGCUUUAAUUCGAUGCAACGCGAAGAACCUUACCUGGGUUUGACAUGGGAAUGAAAGAGUUCAGAGAUGGAUUCCCUUCCGCAAGGAACAUUCUACACAGGUGCUGCAUGGUUGUCGUCAGCUCGUGUCGUGAGAUGUUGUGUUAAGUCCCGCAACGAGCGCAACCCUCGCCCUUAGUUGCCAUCAGGUUAUGCUGGGAACUCUAAGGGGACCGCCUAGUUUAACUAGGAGGAAGGUGGGGAUGACGUCAAAUCAUCAUGGCCCUUAUGUCCAGGGCUAGACACGUGCUACAAUGGUCGGUACAACGGGGUGCAAGACGGUGACGUCAAGCUAAUCUCUUAAAACCGAUCUCAGUACGGAUUGAAGUCUGCAAUUCGACUUCAUGAAGCUGGAAUCGCUAGUAAUCGCGGAUCAGCAUGCCGCGGUGAAUACGUUCCCGGGCCUUGUACACACCGCCCGUCAAGCCAUGAAAGAUGGUAGUACCCGAAGUCGCUUCUCUAACCGCAAGGAAGAGUGCGCCGAGGGUAAGACUGUUGAUUGGGGCUAAGUCGAAACAAGGUA
rnacentral:rRNA from 1 species